CCUACGGGAGGCAGCAGUGAGGAAUAUUGGUCAAUGGGCGUAAGCCUGAACCAGCCAAGUCGCGUGAGGGAUGAAGGUUCUAUGGAUCGUAAACCUCUUUUAUAAGGGAAUAAAGUGCGGGACGUGUCCCGUUUGGUAUGUACCUUAUGAAUAAGGACCGGCUAACUCCGUGCCAGCAGCCGCGGUAAUACGGAGGAUCGGAGCGUUAUCCGGAUUUAUUGGGUUUAAAGGGUGCGUAGGCGGGCUUGUAAGUCAGCGGUGAAAGUCUGUGGCUCAACCAUUGAAUUGCCGUUGAAACUGGGAGGCUUGAGUGUGUUUGAGGCAGGCGGAAUGCGUGGUGUAGCGGUGAAAUGCUUAGAUAUCACGCAGAACCCCGAUUGCGAAGGCAGCCUACCAAGCCAUGACUGACGCUGAUGCACGAAAGCGUGGGGAUCAAACAGGAUUAGAUACCCUUGUAGUC
rnacentral:rRNA from 1 species